CGCACACAGACGCUCACCUGCCGCUGACCACUCUAGGGAGGUAGUAACAGGAAUCCAAUUGUGGUUGUAGAGGCAACAGGAAUCCAAUUGUGGUUGUAGAGGCGUUGACUGCAAGUUUAAGGAGUCAUGAAUGCAUAAAACAGCUGCCAAGAACAGCUCAGGUGGCGGCAUGAAGACCUGACACAAUAGGUGUGUUCCACCCACGGCUGCAGGGGAGAUUUCAUUCUGCACAUCCCCCACUAGAACACACAGAGCAGUGGGUCAGCCUCUGCCACAUGGUUGUGGUUUGUGCAUCUGAAAUGCUUUCAUAAGUAAGUUCUUCUCAGUAAGACGGCCUCCUUCCUGUCCAUGUCUCUGUGUGUAUGUGUGCACGGCAGGCGUAUGUGCAGAUAUGUGUGAGCAUGUACAGGCUAUAAGUCAACAUCAGCUCUUGAGGUCGAUCAAUGAGCUUGAAGCUCCCUGAUUGGCUAAAGCUACCCCUUAGGCUUUGGGGCCCUGCCCCGCCCUUCUCUCCUCCCCCUCAGUGCUAGCGUUGAGGGUGGCCAUUGUGAUACCCACAUCUUUUGCAGAUGCUGAAGAUCUAAACUUGGGUCUCCUGCUUAUGUGUCAAGAACUUUACUGACUGAACCAGCCCCUAAAACCAGCCCCUCCAUGCACCUUUCCAGUGAUAUCUGCCUCUCUCCCAAACUCUUUGCCUCUUUAGGAAUCCAGUUAAAUGCACAAAGACAGACACUGGCAUUCAGGUGGUCAGUCCUAGAGUACAGUCCAGUCAGUAUGGCAAACAGAGCUAAGGCAGGAGGGGGGAAACGGAGAGAGAGGGAGAGGGAGAGAGGGAGGGAGGGAGGGAGGGAGAGAGGGAGGGAGAGAGGGAGGGAGAGAGGAGAGAGGAGAGAGGAGAGAGGAGAGAGAGAGAGAGAGAGAGAGAGAGAGAGAGAGAGAGAGAGAGUGUGUUUUCGAUUGGAAAGGGCACUCUGAAAAGGCAAAUGCAAUGGGAUGUAGUGAACAAUGGAGGUGGGCAAAUUGUGCAUGGCACAGUCCCAGAGGGCUUCCAAGAGGAAGUGAUAUUUGAGUUGAGCAUGAAUAUUGGAGUGUCAAUCAAUUCAGAAUUCAGGAAGCAUGUUCCAGGUCAUCAGAAUGUCAGAUAUGAAAUUGUACCUUAAAAGCAAGCAAAGACAGACGGGAAUCAGUCCAGUGUGACGAGAUGGCUUUGAACUAUCAGAAAGAUAAGAACUGACCUCAGAAUGGAGGCCAUGGGCCAGCCAGCACAAUGACUGUCAAAUCUGCCUUGCUGGUCUAGGCAUGUCUGCCCCUCUCUUAUCUCUAUUUGUUUUGGUUUUAGUCUGAAUCACGCAUUUCCCUGUAGUUCUGCGACAAUAAGAGACACCACCACAGAAGUACAAGCACUGAGGUUCCAGGGUAUAACGCAGUUGUUAAAUGUCGAUGGGCGUGUGCAGAAUUUACCUUGUCUGUGCCAAGGAACACGUAUGCGUCCGACAAAAUCUGUCAGAGGCAACGGGAGAGAAAAAGCAGGGUGCCCAACUGAACUGGAGUUGAGUGUCUCUUACUCACACAAUGAGAAAAGGACCCUCCCCCCCUCUGCCUUCCUUGAAAGGAGAGCUGUCAAGAGGGCAGAUCUAUCAUUAAAUCAUGACCGGGAGCACAAGGUUGUCUUAGAGACCCUGACCCAAGAGCAGAAGAUAGCCGUGGGUGGUAGAGUGCUUGCCUUGUAGGCAUGAAGCCCUGACAUCAAUCCCCAUAUUGCAUAAGUCAAUAUGCAAUCACAUAUGAUAAGCAAUCACAGGCCUGUAACCCCAUGACUCAGGAGGUGGCAGCAACAGAAUCAGAAGUUCAAGUUUACAUAUGGAGUUCAAGGACAGCUGGAUUACGUGAGACCCUGUCAACAAGCAAGCAAACCAUGAAGCAGAAAGAAAAGAGGAGAAGAGGAAAGGAGAGGAGAGAAGAGAAAAGAAAACGAAACACUCCGACCUAAUCCCGGACAUUUUGUGUGAACCAGCCAGGGUCAGCAAAUACCUAUCAUCAGAGUUCUUGUUAUGAGAGGGGAAAAUCCAACUUCUAGUCCAGCCGAGCAUAGUGUCGGACAUGACAACAGCAGAGCGAGAAUCACUGAAAACCCGAGAAAUUCAACAUGUACACCUUUUGGGCACCAACAGCUUGGCUUGAACAUGACCUGACGUCAAGACACGGCCAAGAGGAUGACUAAUGAGAGUCAGAAUGAUGACAUCAUUAAAUGCUGAUGACCGCAAUCUAUUUCAUUAUGACGGUGCAUUUUAUUCUUUUCCAGAAUGCAGCCAGGCUUCUGGUAAGAUAAUGAUCAAUUUUUUUUUAAAGCAUAUGCAGUCAUAGACUUGACCACUGUGAUGUUUCAUAUAUGCUCGGCCCGGGGAGGGGCACUAUUAGAAGGUGUGACUCUGUUGGAGUAGGUGUGGCCUUUUGCGGUGGGUGUGGCCUUGUUGGAGUGGGUGUGGCCUUGUUGGAGUAGGCGUGUCACUGCGGGUGUGGGCUUUAAGACACUUAUCCUAGCUGCUUGGAAGCCAGUCUUCCACUAGCAGCCUUCAGAUGAAGAUGUAGAGCUCUCAGCUCCUCCUGCACCAUGCCUGUCUGGAUGCUGCCAUGCUCCUGCCUUGAUGAUGAUGGACUAAACCUCUGAACCUGUGAGCCAGCCCCAAUUAAAUGUUGUCCUUAUAGAGUUGCCUUGGUCAUGGUGUCUGUUCACAGCAGUAAACCCUAACUAAGACAGCCAGUGAGCACAGAGGUAACCCCCUUCUCAUGGAGCCAUCCUUUCGACCUCUGCCUAGCUCAGUGAUGCCCACUGUGUCCUGGAUGCCUCCUACUUGGGAUCUCCAGACAGACAGAGGACAAGUCCUUCUACCUGCUUUCACUGGCUCCGCCCCAGCGGAGGUCAGUCCAUUUCUGGUCCUGGUCUAGAUUCUCCAGCUAUGUUAGGGUCAUGUGCUCUUUAGUUAAUAAGUCUUGCUUUUUCUUAGCACCUCUAACACCCCAGGCUCCAACAAAGUGACAGAGAAAGGCUGCCAGAGAUGUUGACAUCAAUCCUGUGAGUGAGAGGGAGGGUCUGCACCAAAUGGCUCUCUUCAAGUUAAGGUUUUGUGCAGCAACACCCUGUUGGGGAAGGAUCAAAGUGGGGAACUUGAGGCUGCAGUGAAGGUGGCUACAGUAUCCCAGGGGUCCCAUCUUCCUAGGACACAUUGACACACCUGGGGACAGUGCACACAGGAUGGAGACAUUGUCACUUAACCUCACACUUGGUAUGUGGAGGUUUACCGCACAUGAUGCUUCCGAUAUCACUCCCCAUGUUAACAGGGACCCUGUUAGGUUCCAAUAUGACACCAUUAUGAGCAAUUGGGAUUCAUGUGGCCCCUCGUUUUCAUUUAGACCCCCUUACUCUCUUAAAAGGUAGCUGGCCUUUUAAUGAGAUACAUUUCCAUAUAAACCAGUCAGCAAAAAUAUGGACUGGGGCAUCCCCCUAUGACUGUGACCAUCAGCUACAUUGGCUGGAAAGCCUCCCCACUCUGUGUCCGAUCCCCCUUUUCUUCCUGAUCACCAAUAUCUCCAUUGUCACAGACAGCCUUGACUGCCUUAAUGAACCUGUAAGCUGACCACCACAGUGGCUAUCCUGCUGAGGGAAGCAGCCGCUUUUUGGACGCCUGUGGUAAGACCACCCACUUUCAUGACGUCCCUCUGAUGGCCCAGACUCACUCACAACCCCUACACCAGGGAAUAGGGAUUUUGGUAUUACGGUUGCCACCACUGAGGCCACCAUUGCUGCUGCCUUGACCCAGACAGACACUAUGGCGGAGACUGUCAAUGCUGCAGUCUCUAAGUCAGCUGAGGUGCUGCAGGCACAGUGGGUACUAAAUCAACAUCUUUAUCAUGGCGCCCACAUUUUACAGCAACAGAUCGACUUACUGGCAGAAGAGGUGGCCCUUGUUAGGGACAUGGCUCUAUUGCCAUGCGUCCCCAGGUUUCACUCAAUCUGCCUAACUCCUUACCAGGUACACAACACCACUGAAGCCCGACAACAGUUGGCUCCAUAUCUUAAAGGUACCUGGUCAGACUAAUUCCUUAACUAUUCUGUACUGUAAUGGAGAACAUAGCCAACCUCAGUGUGACCUGAUUAUCUGUGCUCUCCCUAGAUGCUGGGUUCUUGGGAGAAGUGUGGGACGAUAUUGAAAGGCUGCUUGACCUCUCAUGAAUAGCCACUUAUGCUAUGAUGGGAGGAGCGGUCAUAGCAAUAAUUAUUGUGUUUAAGUGUCCCACACAGCAUAUCUCCAGGCAGCGCUCCAUAAACAAAGCAACCCUCCACGUGCUGAUGGCUCUCAAUUGUGCCCCCCUAAAGAAGUGUUCAAAGCAUAGAUGGAAGAGAUGGGGCCACCUCUGUCAAAACACCAGGGGCUGCGCAGCCGCAAAACCAUCUCCUGCAGGAGGACCUAAUUGAGGACAGUCUGAGAGACCAAGGAUUGCUGGUGCAGACAGUGCCAGCCAAUCAGGAACUGUUGUUUAGAAGAGAUGCUCUCUUGGAACCAAUGGGGCGCGGGCAAGGGUAUUAAGGGAGCUUAUAGCAGUUCAGAGAGCUUGCUGCUGCGUUUCUCACUUGCUCCCGGAGUCUGUAUUGCUUGUUCCGUGCUACCUUCCCUCUAACUCCCAAGGACAGGUAUGGAGUAGUCCAGAUACUUACUCAUGGGCAGCAGAGACUCGCCUAAUGAAGAAAACUGUAAAGGAACGGGAGAUACAAACACAGAACCACAAGAAGGAAACACAGAGCCUUGGCCAGGUGCUCAGUGACACAGGAGAUAGGGUUACAGUGCAGUUGGACAUUAACGUCAGUAAUUCAGUAGGAAAGGUGGUUAGGAGAUGGAUGUUGGGGUCCCCUACCCCAUUAACAACACACUGCUGGGUAUAAGGCUGUUGAGUGCCCCUGAAAUAGGCCGCCCUGUGAUCAUGUGCAUCCCUGUACUGAAGAUCAGAACGGACCCAGAGAUCAUUCCCACCAUCUUUAGAGACAGCAGGCAGGAAACCAGUCACGACCUGAGCCUUGACUAGGGAGGAAGUCAACACCCCUCUCCGUGUACCUUCAGUCUACACUCCAAAGGAGUCGGAUCCACUUCGACGUUGAACGUUGUCUUGACAAAUUCUAUCCCCAAGUACCAGAGCCCGACUCUCCAAAAUCUCUCUUGGAAGACAGAAUUCUCAAACACGGGGCGUUCUCAACACUGCUAAGGUCCCUACACUUCCGUACACUCGGUAACAGGGGGAGCACAUUUUGUUGGAAGAGAUGUUACAUGACGGUCCCCGGAGCUCACAUUCAGCUGACUUCAGUGUGUUGACCAAAAAUAGAAACUGGCUUACAUACCCUUCCAUUUUUAGGGAAGGUGAAGACAUAGAUUUCGACACUUGAUUUUCUUAGCUCUGGGAACACUGUAGGCUAAACUGCUUGGCCCCGAGGGACCUCUUUGCUAUUGGCUGCCCUGGGCAGGGUGAUAGAUUUAAAAUUCAUUCCUGACAUCCAGUUGACACGGGGUUUUAAAAGCGUGUUUAAUAUUGCACUGGUCGCCACUUCUGCUCACAAAGAGUUCAGCUGCCACUGGCUUCCGGUUCUUGUUCCUCAUUUGGUGGUUUCUUCAACUUCAGCCCCAGUCUAUUGUCUGACCUGGGUGCUAGUCUCUAGGUGGGAAGAGAGGCGAUGAACAGGUUGAGAGCAAGGAAAGCUGAAACACACCACGCCUCACGCCAGUAGCCUUGCAGGAAAGGAUUGAAGGCUGCUGGGCACAGCGUCAUUCCUGUCUUUCCCUGUGCCCUGUCAGUGCUCCGUGGGGUCAGUCAGCUGGCUCGGUGUCUUAGUCAGGGUUCCUAUUCCUGCACAAACAUCAGGACCAAGAAGCAAGAUGGGGAGGAAAGGGUUUAUUCAGCUUACACUUCCGCAUUGCUGUUCAUCACCAAAGGAAGUCAGGACUGGAACUCAAGCAGGUCAGGAAGCAGGAGCUGAUGCAGAGGCCAUGGAGGGAUGUUACUUACUGGCUUGCUUCCCCUGGCCUGCUCAGCUUGCUCUCUUAUAGAACCCAAGACCACCAGCCUAGGGGAUGGCACCACCCACAAUGGGCUGGGUCCUCCCCUCUUGAUCACUAGGUGAGAAAAUGCCUUACAGCUGGGUCUCAUGGAGUCAUUUCCUCAACUUCUCCUUUCUCCUUUCUCUGUGGUAUCUCCAGCUUGUAUCAAGUUGACACACAAAACCAGCCAGAACACUUGGGAAUCCAUAGGUUUCAAACACACAUAGGCUGAUGGUUUGUUUUCCAUCCGAAACUUCUUUCUGAGACCGGCGUCUCUUUGAGAAAAGAUGACAGGUGGCCUGCGUCUCCCCCGCUCUCCUGAACUUUGAGGAACAGGAUUACUCUUAGCCAAGGAAGGAAUCAGCUCUGUCCAUGUUACAGAAAUCCCAAGAACUUAACCUGGUGCCAGUAAAUAUUAUCUGGAUCACAGAGCACGUUUGGCAGUGGGCAGAGACAGCUAAAUCUUAAAAGCAAAGACUACACAGAAGGCAUAGGGAGAUCAAAGGAAAAGAUCCACACAGGUUCGAGGGUUUGAAGACGGGGCCUCCAGCUGAUGGCUGUUCCAAGAGGUUGCAGAACCUUUUAGUAAAAAUGUCUAGUUGGCAGGCUUGGAGGUGUAGAGGGACCCUGGACAAAUCCUCGCUCAGAUCCGGAGGGACGACUGCGUAUCCAGAGCAAUACCGUUGGCACACAGAUCAGGGUGAGGACUGUUAACGGGCCGUUUCACAUCCUUUGUGAAUCCCAGAGAGCGGCACAUGGAGGGGACGCCCCACCAUCCUGGAAUGUGCCUGUGGACACCGCCUUCCACACCGGCAGUAGCGUGUCUCGGGUGUCUCCUGUAGAUCUGCAUUCCCUCUCGUUUUGCACAGGAGCAGGCAUUCUUUUUGUCUUCCAACCACCACAGCCCCAGCACCCAGCAGCUCGCAGAAGCUUAAUAAAUGUUUGAUAUAAAAA